GACGAACGCUGGCGGCGUGCUUAACACAUGCAAGUCGAACGGAAUCCAUGGUGUAGCAAUACACCGGAAGAUUUAGUGGCGAACGGGUGAGGAUCACGUGAGAAACCUGCCCCAGACUUUGGGAUAACAAUUGGAAACGAUUGCUAAUACCGAAUGACGUCGGAGAACCGCAUGGUUCACUGACGAAAGGAAAUCCGGUUUGGGAGGGUCUCGCGGCCUAUCAGCUUGUUGGUGGGGUAAUGGCCUACCAAGGCAACGACGGGUAGCUGGUCUGAGAGGAUGAUCAGCCACACUGGGACUGAGACACGGCCCAGACUCCUACGGGAGGCAGCAGUGGGGAAUCUUGCGCAAUGGGCGAAAGCCUGACGCAGCAACGCCGCGUGCGGGAUGAAGGCCUUCGGGCUGUAAACCGCUUUCAGCAGGAACGAAAAUGACGGUACCUGCAGAAGAAGGAGCGGCCAACUACGUGCC
rnacentral:rRNA from 1 species